UGGGGAAUUUUGGACAAUGGGCGCAAGCCUGAUCCAGCAAUGCCGCGUGCAGGAUGAAGGCCUUCGGGUUGUAAACUGCUUUUGUACGGAACGAAACGGUCUUUUCUAAUACAGAAGGCUAAUGACGGUACCGUAAGAAUAAGCACCGGCUAACUACGUGCCAGCAGCCGCGGUAAUACGUAGGGUGCGAGCGUUAAUCGGAAUUACUGGGCGUAAAGCGUGCGCAGGCGGUUUUGUAAGACAGAGGUGAGAUCCCCGGGCUCAACCUGGGAAUUGCCUUUGUGACUGCAAGGCUUGAGUGCGGCAGAGGGGGAUGGAAUUCCGCGUGUAGCAGUGAAAUGCGUAGAUAUGCGGAGGAACACCGAUGGCGAAGGCAGCUUACUAAGCAUAUAUUGACGCUGAGGCACGAAAGCGUGGGUAGCGAACA
rnacentral:rRNA from 1 species